GAAAAACUUUACACCUUCUUCAACAUUUAUUUUGUUUUAAGGAAAAAUCAAAUAAAAACGUUCUUCAACAUCUCCUUUUCUUUAAUUACACUAAAAGAAUUGUACUGCACCUUCUCAGAUUUCUUUUUUAUUUUACCCUCUUCAUGAAGAUAGUUAACUAUCUGUUUACCCUCUUCAUGAAGAUAUUUUACCCUCUAUAUUUUGGCAGCCAUUAAAAAUCACAUUCUCUGUUUAUAAUCCUUCCGAGUUCUCCAAAUUGAGCGAGAAUAUGGCGAAGUCUAACGUGAUCCAUAUGUGGUGGGAUACGACUUAAGUAGCCAUGGUUUUGCCAGCAUUUUGAAAUACAGAUAACAAAUCUCUAACGUGAAUGCCUAUUUUCCUUUCUAAAAUGCAGUAUCCAUCAUUGCGAGUUGGUCAAAAUAGCCAGUUUCCUAUGUCAGGAAUUGGUCAGAAUGCUCAGGUAUAAAUCUCAUUUUGGAUUAACAAUUUCCCAUACCUUCUGAUUACCUUUGAAUUUAAUCACAGAACAUAAUGAGUUCAUGAAUUUAAUGUCAUUUUAAAAAGAAACAUCAGUGAUUACGUAAUGAUUACGUAAAAUCAGAGUCCUACGUAGGUGGACUUCUUUAAUUUUUAUAUAGAUAUCAUUCAAUAAGGCUUUUAUUUUUAGUUAAUCAUUCUACAAUUCCUAGUGAGUAAGAAAAAGAAGCUAGUGUCGUCGGCGAACAACUGGUACUCUCCGUUGGGAAGAAGAAGAAGACGGUGGUGUGUAAAAGAAGAAUGUUUGUCUCUUUCUUCUUUUUAUAAUUAUGUAACAGAGCAUGUGUUUGAUUACCAGCUUGUGUCAAAAUCAUAAUUCCAUAUCAUCACACGUUUUUUAAUUAACAAAGCAA